GUAAAUGUUCCAUGAUAAUGGGUUAGGUAAAUGUUUCAUGAUAAUGGGUUAGGUAAAUGUUUCAUGAUAAGAAUAUCAUGUCUUUUGUAUUAAAGAAAUAAAUGGAUGAAAUAUGAAGUUUUAUUAAAAGAAAAAGGGGUGAAAAGAACAAAGUUUUGUCCAUCUUUGUUCAUCAUAGCUGAAAGUUAGAGAAGAGAAAGGAGGGGAGAAAGCUCUUGAGUAUUCGGUCAUUAGGAGGAGGAAAAUUGAAGGCAGUUCGUGUGUGGAUCUCGUCAGCAUAUCGUCACAAACAGGUGUGUAACUAACACCCUCUUUCUUAGUCUGGAUCGGCAAAAGUCGAAAAGUCGAAAUGCCGAAAAUCGGUAUUUUGUAGAUUUGCGAAAAGUGCGAAUGCUCGUGAGGUAAAUCGAUUAAUGUUUUUGGUAAGCUGUAAAAUUUGGACUGCAAAGUGCAUGAUUUCUGUGCCCUCGAUAUUUUUGGGCUUAAUGGGCCAAAAUUGGAAUGAUGGGCCAACGGGCCCAAUUCGGUAAGAACCCUCGGUACGUGAUUCUGUUAGUAC